AGAUUGAACGCUGGCGGCAGGCCUAACACGUGCAAGUCGAGCGGUAGAGAGGUGCUUGCAUCUCUUGAGAGCGGCGGACGGGUGAGUAAUGCCUAGGAAUCUGCCUAGUGGUGGGGAUAACGUUCGGAAACGGACGCUAAUACCGCAUACCGUCCUACGGGAGAAAGCGGGGACCUUCGGGCCUCGCGCCAUUAGAUGAGCUAGGUCGAUUAGCUAGUUGUGAGGUAAUGGCUCACCAAGGCGACGAUCCGUAACUGGUCUGAGAGGAUGAUCAGUCACACUGGAACUGAGACACGGUCAGACCUCCGUACGGGAGCAGCAGUGGGAAUAUUGGAACAAGUGGGACGAAAG
rnacentral:rRNA from 1 species